AGCAGUGAGGAAUAUUGGACAAUGGUCGGAAGACUGAUCCAGCCAUGCCGCGUGCAGGAUGACGGCCUUAUGGGUUGUAAACUGCUUAUAUACAGGAAGAAUAAGGUCUACGAGUAGAUUGAUGACGGUACUGUAUGAAUAAGCAUCGGCUAACUCCGUGCCAGCAGCCGCGGUAAUACGGAGGAUGCGAGCGUUAUCCGGAAUCAUUGGGUUUAAAGGGUCCGUAGGCGGGCUUAUAAGUCAGAGGUGAAAGCACUGAGCUCAACUGAGUAACUGCCUUUGAAACUGUAGGUCUUAAAUGUUUGUGAAGUAGCUGGAAUGUGUAGUGUAGCGGUGAAAUGCAUAGAUAUUACACAGAACACCGAUUGCGAAGGCAUGUUACUAACUAAUUAUUGACGCUGAUGGACGAAAGCGUGGGGAGCGAACAGGAUCAGAUACCCUGGUAGUCCACCGCUGUAAACGAUGGAUACUAGCUGUUUGGGAGUAAUUUUGAGUGGCUAAGCGAAAGUGAUAAGUAUCCCACCUGGGGAGUACGCACGCAAGUGUGAAACUCAAAGGAAUUGACGGGGGCACGCACAAGCGGUGGAGCAUGUGGUUUAAUUCGAUGAUACGCGAGGAACCUUACCAAGGUUUAAAUGGGAAACGACGUAUCUAGAGAUAGAUAUUUCUUCGGACGUUUUUCAAGGUGCUGCAGCGUUGUCGUCA
rnacentral:rRNA from 1 species